UGCAGUUGGUGCGGUCACCUUAAAUGAAACUGGUUUUCACAAUGAUUUGCCAGAUAUUUUUAGAAAUUCUGAGAUCAUUGUGAAAACUGAUUUUGUUCCCUAUGUAACAUCUUUGACCACGA
rnacentral:pre_miRNA from 9 species